rnacentral:rRNA from 1 species
UACAGAGGUCUCGAGCGUUAGGCGGAAUCACUGGGCUUAAAGCGUGUGUAGGCGGACUGGUAAGUACCUUGUGAAAUCCCACGGCUCAACCGUGGAACUGCUUGGUAUACUGCUUGUCUUGUGCAACCUAGGGGCGAGCGGAACAGAUGGUGGAGCGGUGAAAUGCGUAGAUAUCGGGAGGAACACCUGUGGCGAAAGCGGCGCACUGGACCACAACUGACGCUGAGGAGCGAAAGCAUGGGGAGCGAACAGG